rnacentral:rRNA from 1 species
AUUGAACGCUGGCGGCAGGCUUAACACAUGCAAGUCGAACGAGUGGCGGACGGGUGAGUAAUGUAUGGGAAUCUAGCUAGUGGCGGGGGAUAACUACUCGAAACUGUAGCUAAUACCGCAUACUAUAGGAUGAGCCCAUGUGGGAUUAGCUAGUUGGUGAGGUAAAGGCUCACCAAGCCGACGAUCCCUAGCUGGUCUGAGAGGAUGACCAGCCACACUGGGACUGAGACACGGCCCAGACUCCUACGGGAGGCAGCAGUGGGGAAUAUUGCGCAAUGGGGGAAACCUGACGCAGCCAUGCCGCGUGAAUGAAGAAGGCCUUCGGGUUGUAAAGUUCUUUCGGUAGCGAGGCGUUAACUACAGAAGAAGCACCGGCUAACUCCGUGCCAGCAGCCGCGGUAAUUC